rnacentral:misc_RNA from 1 species
GAUGAAGAACGUAGCGAAAUGCGAUAAGUAAUGUGAAUUGCAGAAUUCAGUGAAUCAUCGAAUCUUUGAACGCACAUUGCGCCCGCCAGUAUUCUGGCGGGCAUGCCUGUCUGAGCGUCAUUUCAACCCUCAUGCCCCUAGGGCGUGGUGUUGGGGAUCGGCCAAAGCCCGCGAGGGACGGCCGGCCCCUAAAUCUAGUGGCGGACCCGUCGUGGCCUCCUCUGCGAAGUAGUGAUAUUCCGCAUCGGAGAGCGAUGAGCCCCUGCCGUUAAACCCCCAACUUUCCAAGGUUGACCUCAGAUCAGGUAGGAAUACCCGCUGAACUUAAGCAUAUCAAUAAGCGGGAGGA